AACGGACGCUGGCGGCGCGCUUAACACAUGCAAGUCGAACGAGAAGCUGUAGCAAUACAGUUGUACAGUGGCGAACGGGUGAGGAAUACAUGGGCAACCUACCCUCGAGCGGGGAAUAACCAGCCGAAAGGUUGGCUAAUACCGCGUACGCUUCCGGGUCUGCGGAUUCGGAAGGAAAGCCAUGCCGGGGGUAUGGCGCUCAAGGAUGGGCUCGUGUCCUAUCAGCUUGUUGGUGAGGUAACGGCUCACCAAGGCAACGACGGGUAGCUGGUCUGAGAGGACGAUCAGCCACACUGGCACUGCGACACGGGCCAGACUCCUACGGGAGGCAGCGGUGAGGAAUAUUGCGCAAUGGGCGAAAGCCUGACGCAGCGACGCCGCGUGGGGGAUGAAGGUCUUCGGAUUGUAAACCCCUUUCGGGAGGGAAGAUGGGACGAGCAAUCGUUCGGACGGUACCUCCAGAAGCAGCCACGGCUAACUUCGUGCCAGCCGCCGCGGUAAGAC
rnacentral:rRNA from 1 species